rnacentral:ncRNA from 1 species
UUUUAGUUAUUAAUUUUUUUAGUGUAUGUGUUCAGUCUGCUUUUUCUAAAGUUUUAUUCUUGCUUAUUUAUUCACUUUUUCUUUGUAUUAUAUGCAAGUUUUUUUAAACUAAAUGUUCUUUUUGCAGUGAUUUAAUUUAAUUAUCAAGAAAUUUUGGAAUUAGCAAUUGAUUAAGUAUUGGCUUAUUUCGUGCCAGCAGCCGCGGUUAUACGAUUAAUACAAGUGAAUAUUUUUGGUUAAAACAGUUAUUUAUAGUUUUGGAGUUUAAUUAUAAAUUUAUGAGGUGAAAUUUUAAUUUUUUUUAUGAUUCCUAUUAUGAACCUGUGAAACUUAAGUAAUAAACUAGGAUUAGAUACCCUAUUAUUUUAAGUGUUAAUUUUACUUACCUGGGUACUAUUAGUUAGGAUCUUUAAACCCAAAGAAUUUGGCGGUACCUUAUUCCAUUCAGAGGAACCUACCCCGUAAUUGAUAAUACACGAUUUACUUUACUUAAUUUAUUUGUUUGUAUAUCUCCGUUAUCAGAAAAUCUUGUUGGAGUUAUAAUUUUCUUGAUUUAUGAUUGUAAAAUAUUUCAGGUCAAGGUGCAGCUUAUGAUUAAGAGGAGGUGGGUUACAAUAAAUUUUUGUUUAUUAUGGAUUUAAUAGUUAAACACUAUUAAUGAAGGUGGAUUUGAUAGUAAUUUGAUUAAGUUAUUUUAAUUGAUAUUGGCUCUAAGGUGUGUACACAUCGCCCGUCGCUCUCAUUAUUGUUAAAUCUACUUAUAUUUAAAGGUAGUUUCAAUUUAGAUGAGAUAAGUCGUAACAUAGUAGAUGUACUGGAAAGUGUAUCUAGGAAGUUUCAG